AUUGAACGCUGGCGGCAGGCCUAACACAUGCAAGUCGAGCGGAUGAAGGGAGCUUGCUCCUGGAUUCAGCGGCGGACGGGUGAGUAAUGCCUGGGAAUCUGCCUGGUAGUGGGGGAUAACGUCCGGAAACGGGCGCUAAUACCGCAUACGUCCUGAGGGAGAAAGUGGGGGAUCUUCGGACCUCACGCCAUCAGAUGAGCCUAGGUCGGAUUAGCUAGUUGGUGGGGUAAAGGCCUACCAAGGCGACGAUCCGUAACUGGUCUGAGAGGAUGAUCAGUCACACUGGAACUGAGACACGGUCCAGACUCCUACGGGAGGCAGCAGUGGGGAAUAUUGGACAAUGGGCGAAAGCCUGAUCCAGCCAUGCCGCGUGUGUGAAGAAGGUCUUCGGAUUGUAAAGCACUUUAAGUUGGGAGGAAGGGCAGUAAGUUAAUACCUUGCUGUUUUGACGUUACCAACAGAAUAAGCACCGGCUAACUUCGUG
rnacentral:rRNA from 1 species